rnacentral:lncRNA from 1 species
UGAAUUUAAAGAUAGAAGAAUAGACAUAGAAGUUUAUAGCCUCUCCUUUCAGAGAGCCUGCUAAAAUAUUUGAAAAGAUAAAAGAGGCUUAAGCUUGCAAGUACAAAGAGAAUAGGAGAGAAGACAUUAAUUGAUGAAAUAUUUCAAUCAUAUUUCAAAAGACAGGAAAGGAAUGUAGGAAAGGUGUCUGAUAUAACCAGAUUGAGGAUAUCAUAUCUUAAAGGACAAGCAAGAAGUUGGUACUAACAAGGAGACAAUAAGUUAGUCCUGUAGACUCCUGGAGAAGCUCCGAAACUGAGGAAUCCAGUACAGCAGAGAGUGUGGGAAUAAACUGAAGAAUAUGUUAACAUGGGAAACAGUCUGUGUACCUCACUUACGGCUCAGGCAUAGAACCCUAGCAGCUGUGUAAUCACCCCCCCAGGCAGGAGGCUGAUUAUUCUUUGGAGAAUGGGAGGCAAGAGCCUCAGGAUUUGGAGACAAUAUGCACGGCCUGGCCCAGAAUUAGUCAUAGGGCUGCAAGCGAGAGAAUUAAUUGCAAAUCUGCCUAUGGCAUGGCCGUACUCCUCAGUGCUUUUCCCUCUCUUUGCUCCUAGGAUGCAGGUUGCCUUUUAGACAGGACAGGAGGAUUCCUUGCUGGAGAAACUGAGCCGUUCCACACUCUCCCCACGUGAAAGAGAAAGAGCAAAAACAACGAAGUCUGAGAAACUGCCACAGUUGAGAGGGGCCUAAGGAGACGUGAUGAUUGAAUGUCCUGUAGGAUCC